GGUAGACUCUACGCACAUGACUAUUGACCCUCUAAAACCACACAUUAAAACCUUUAAAGACAUGGUAGCCAUUGCUAAUCCCACGUUUGAAGACACUAUGGCUGUGGAGACUGGGUUUUCAGAUACUAACCUAUGGCUUGAGUGCAUGAGGUAUAAUGCUAAUUCACACAAUAAAACUGUUUUGUUUGUGGAGGGGCCAGACCCCAUCUGGGUACAGUGCCCUUCAGUCUACCUUCAGAUGUUGAAAUAUGUUUCCCAAGUCUCUUUGCACAGUCACCAACAAACUCAUCUGUGUGUGAAUCAUGGAAAAAGGUAUACCCAAUAACCCAAGGGAAUAUCAAGCCACCUGAUGGGAUCACCGUGUACCCAGGUAACUACACUUGCCAUACAACACACGGAACCACAGAUAAAUUUGUGGGUAAGUUCCCUUCUGGUACUACCUAUCGAGAACCUCCCACUGCCCUAUUAGUAAUCAUGUUAAGUCCAUGGGAGACAUUUAUUGGCGGUGAUGUGGUGACAUGCAGAUCAGAUCUAAAAUGACUGGCCUGUGAUGGGGUGAAUGCACUCUGACCAAAGCUAUCAUGCCCAUACAUAUAAUUUCUGAUAACCACCAAGGCCCACUUGAUUCCCCACACACGUACUUCAGGAUAAAAAGUGAAACCCCUAUCCAAGGUAGUUUCGACCCACACAUAUAUAUCGAUGCCAUAGGUGUACCAAGGGAGGUACCAAACGAGUUCAAGGCCAGAGAUGAGGUUGCGACAGGAUUCGAAUCCUUGAUCCCACUCAUCACCGCUAACAAGAAUGUUAAUUGGAUCAAUUAUAUUUACUAUAAUUAGCAACCCUUUGUCAAUUACACGAAAGAUGCCCUCCAGGGCUUGGCAGAACAGUUACAGACUACCU